UCCUACGGGGGGCAGCAGUGAGGAAUAUUGGUCAAUGGUCGGGAGACUGAACCAGCCAAGCCGCGUGAGGGAUGAAGGUACAGAGUAUCGUAAACCUCUUUUGUCAGGGAACAAAGGCGGGGACGUGUCCCCGGAUGAGUGUACCUGAAGAAAAAGCAUCGGCUAACUCCGUGCCAGCAGCCGCGGUAAUACGGAGGAUGCGAGCGUUAUCCGGAUUUAUUGGGUUUAGAGGGUGCGCAGGCGGUCUUUUAAGUCAGCGGUCAAAGCCCGGGGCGCAACCCCGGCCCGCCGUUGAAACUGGGAGG
rnacentral:rRNA from 1 species